rnacentral:rRNA from 1 species
AUACGGAGGGGGCGAGCGUUGUUCGGAAUUAUUGGGCGUAAAGGGCGCGUAGGCGGCUCGGCAAGUCAGUCGUGAAAUCCCUCGGCUCAACCGAGGAAUUGCGAUUGAAACUGCCGGACUUGAGUCCCGGAGAGGGUAGCGGAAUUCCCAGUGUAGCGGUGAAAUGCGUAGAUAUUGGGAGGAACACCAGUGGCGAAGGCGGCUACCUGGACGGUGACUGACGCUGAGGCGCGAAAGCGUGGGGGGCAAACAGGAUUAGAAACCCCAGUAGUCC